rnacentral:rRNA from 1 species
AAAAAUAACGAUACGGGACUCUAUUGAGGCCCCGUAAUCGGAAUGAGUACACUUUAAAUCCUUUAACAAGGAUCCAUUGGAGGGCAAGUCUGGUGCCAGCAGCCGCGGUAAUUCCAGCUCCAAUAGCGUAUAUUAAAGUUGUUGCGGUUAAAAAGCUCGUAGUUGGUUCUGCGUGCCGCGCUGUCGGUUCGCCGCCUGUCGGUGUAACUGGCAUGUCGCGGCAUGUCCUGUCGGUGGUGAACGGAGUCCACAAUGCUACAUAGGCUUUAUAGCCGAUGUUAGCGUCGUGUGUACUUCCGUUGGCCGAUCUCUCCUACUUCGGUGCUCUUAAACGAGUGUCGAGGUAGGCCGACACGUUCACUUUGAACAAAUUAGAGUGCUUAAAGCAGGCUGAAAUAUCUGCCUGAAUAGUGGUGCAUGGAAUGAUAAAACAGGACCUCGGUUCUAUUUUGUUGGUUUUAGGAAUAUGAGGUAAUGAUCAAUGUGGACUGGCGGGGGCAUUCGUAUUGCGACGUUAGAGGUGAAAUUCUUGGAUCGUCGCAAGACGCACUAGAGCGAAAGCAUUUGCCAAGUAUGUCUUAAUUGAUCAAGAACGAAAGUUAGAGGUUCGAAGGCGAUCAGAUACCGCCCUAGUUCUAACCAUAAACGAUGCCAGCCAGCGAUCCGCCGAUGUUCCUUUAAUGACUCGGCGGGGAGCUUCCACCCGGGAAACCAAAGCUUUUGGGUUCC